rnacentral:rRNA from 1 species
AGGUAGUGACGAAAAAUAACGAUACGGGACUCAUCUGAGGCUCCGUAAUCGGAAUGAGUACACUUUAAAUCCUUUAACGAGGAUCCAUUGGAGGGCAAGUCUAAUGCCAGCAGCCGCGGUAAUUUUAGCUCCAAUAGCGUAUAUUAAAGUUGUUGCGGUUAAAAAGCUCGUAGUUGAAUCUGUGUGCUACGCUGUCGGUUCACCGCUCGCGGUGUUAAACUGAUGUGCCGUGGUACGUCCUACCGGUGGGCUUAGCUCUUCCCCUUCGUGGGUGUUUGAGCGGUCCUAUUUAAUCCCAUUGCGGUGCUCUUCAUCGAGUGUCGAGGUGGGCCGGUACGUUUACUUUGAACAAAUUAGAGUGCUCAAAGCAGGCUAUUUUCGCCUGAAUAUGUGUGCAUGGAAUAAUGGAAUAGGAUCUCGGUUCUAUUUUGUUGGUUUUCGGAACACCGAGGUAAUGAUUAAUAGGGACAGAUGGGGGCAUUCGUAUUGUAACGUUAGAGGUGAAAUUCUUGGAUCGUUGCAAGACGGACAGAAGCGAAAGCAUUUGCCAAAAAUGUUUUCAUUAAUCAAGAACGACAGUUAGAGGAUCGAAGGCGAUCAGAUACCGCCCUAGUUCUAACCAUAAACGAUGCCAGCUAGCGAUCCGCCGAAGUUCCUCCGAUGACUCGGCGGGCAGCU